CCCCUGGGGAUGUUCCUGCAGAAGGGCAGUGCUCAGCUGAGAUACGAGGUCUCAGAGAACCCAUCGCUAGGCUCAGGGAUGCUCCAGCUUCCACCUCUCCUCCCGUGCUGAGCCCACCCCGGUGCCAGGAUAGAGGAUCCAGCAAAAAGCAGGAAGAGAAAGCGCCUGUGCCGUAGGUGCAAAUCCUGACUGCUGACGGGGCUGCUGUAAUUAGCACCGCUAAAAUAUUUCUGCUGGACUCCGGUUCCACUCGGCUGCUGCAUGGCUCCGAUUGUGCCCGUUGCGUUGGUUGCUGGCGGGUACAGCAUGUGCGGCUGGGCCGAGGGCAACGUGCGGUCUGGAGUCCUCCGCAAGCAGGACACCACCACCAACAUCCGCAGAAGCUUUUGGUGGGGAUUGAUUUCAAAGCAGUGAGGUCCGAUUCUGCCAAGUGCCUUUGCCAAGCUCAGGUUCGACCGUAAAGAUAGGGAUGUGAUGGGCGGUAGCAGCCCCACACCAAAUCCCAUCCCAGCUUCCAUCACCCCAGGUCUCAAAGUGCUCAGGGAGCAGAGAGAGCCCUUGCUCACCACGUGCCUUUGGGCACAAAGGAUAACACAGCUCAGGGGCAGCACCCAGAGCCGGACCCCAGAUUGCUCCUGGCCAGGCAGCAUUGCUCCCCAAAAGCAUCUCCAGAGCCCAACCAGGCUUAAUCCUGCCCUCUUCCCCCAUCCUCGCCUCUGCGUCCCCACUCUCCUCACCCAAAUUCACCACCUGGGAACACCAGAUGCAGGAUGCCUCCUCCAGCCCGGCUGGAAUCGCCUGUGACCCGGAGCCACACAACACAGAGCUGGCGGUGAGGAGAGAGGAGAAAUUUAGAGCUGUAAUUAACUCCUGCAAAGAGGCGUUUUGGGUUCAUCUCCAUCUGCGAUCCGGAGGAUUCCUGAACAUGACAGGCACCUGGCUAAAUUGCCUGGGACCUUGUUUAUCCGAGGCCCAGAAUCACACUGUACAGUUUGUUGUAUUCAUUCGCUCGCGUUGAACACGACUCUAUAAACAGCGAAUCUGCUGGGGAUUUUCCCUCCUGCUCCUGCAAGGCAGGAGAGAGCGGGCAGAGGAGGAUGGAUGGGAAGGAGCAGGCAUGGAAAAGGCAUUUGCAGCUGGCCAUAAAAAAGGAUCUGACACCAGGCUGCCGCCUGAUGGGAGCAAAGUUACUGCAAUGGAAAUCAUCUUUUAAGAGAACGCACACAGCUCUCAGGAGCCAAAGCUGUGAGGGGCUCAGCACCAUCCAGGGGCUCAGCACCAUCCAGGGCCCCCCGCCUCCCGUAACCCGGCAUCCCAGCCCAGACAGGGCUGUUUCAUUUCUACUUUUCUUUUUUUAUCCCUUUUUAUCUUGCCUCUGAGUCCAAGGGGGCACAGAUUCUGCUCUGAGUUACGCUGGAAGGAUCCAGCAGGAGCUGGAGGAGGCGGCAGCAUCAGCCCCAGCGCCAGCCCUGGCUCUGCGGCGACACGGGGGGCUCUGCCCCACACGGGGCAGGGUGAGACCCCACUCUGGGAUGUGGAGCUGAACACAAUAUUGCCCAUCACAGCGAGGGGAGAGCAAGCACUGCAGAUUCUUCGCAGUGCUGUACGAGCCCUCAGCUCAGCAGCAUCACCGUGGAGCGCGCAGGGGCGCGGGGACGGGCAGGAGCCCUCAUCCUGGGCUCGGGGGGCACACACGGGACUGAAGGGGCCGCUACCCAGCGAUCCGCAUUUGCCCAGACCUCGCUCCCAUA